CCGAACCGCGCCCCCCGCCCGCGAACGAGCGCACGUGAGCGCGCGCCGCGCUGUUUUCUAACUUUAGCUCGGCGGCUUCGGUGGGGUCGGGCGAGGCAGCUGCUAGAGGGGAUGCUCUGUCAAAAUGAGUGAAUUAACCAAGAGGAAGGCCUCAGAGCCUGGAAUCAGGGGCUCCAGCUAGUUGCAAAGGAAUAAAGCAUUAUGAAUCCAGACACAAGUUCUCCACGGGGAAGUACAUGCACUGUGCUUCCUUUAAGGGGAGAGAGUGUCCAUCAUCUCACACCCAGGAGAUCUACCGU